CUUCGAUACUAAAAAAACCUCAACUUUCCAUAGCCAGUUCAGUCAUUCUGUGCAUCUUCUUAAAAUAUAUGGACUUCUCCUAGUAUUUAUUGGCAAUGUUGGUGUCUAUACCUCAACUAACUAACUAAAUGGUUCUAUCUUCACAAGAAUGGUUUUAAGAAUCAUCUCUAGGCUUGCAGAGCUUGAGAACAUUUUAUGACCAGUUGUCAAACUGACAUCAACCCUCUGAAUCUGCGCUAAUUUUUAGCCAAGGCAUCUUAGGGAAUGAGUUGGUUCUGAUACGAAACCUAAAAG
rnacentral:lncRNA from 1 species